rnacentral:rRNA from 1 species
GUCUACGGCCAUGCCACCCUGAACAAGUCUGAUCCCAUCUGAUCUCAGAAGCUAAACAGGGUCAGACCUGGUUACUACUUGGAUGGGAAACCACCUAGGAAGAUCAGGUGCUGAAAAAA